rnacentral:rRNA from 1 species
UGCGUAGGCGGCGCGGUAAGUCGGGUGUGAAAUCUCGGGGCUUAACUCCGAAACUGCAUUCGAUACUGCCGUGAUUGAGGACUGGAGAGGAGACUGGAAUUUACGGUGUAGCGGUGAAAUGCGUAGAUAUCGUAAGGAAGACCAGUGGCGAAGGCGGGUCUCUGGACAGUUCCUGACGCUGAGGCACGAAGGCCAGGGAGGCAAACG